rnacentral:lncRNA from 10 species
GUUUUUUAUUAGUUUUGUGAAUGCUUGUAAAUAGUUCAGUUGGUUCUGGAAAUUAAUCUGUGAUGGCCAAACAUUGGUAAUUGCAAUAAAUUUACUCUGUGUUGUAGGCUAAAACAUGAUGUCCUAAAAGUUGUACAUCAAAUUCCUGGAAACUUGUUUCGAAAAAAAAGGUUUUUGUAAAUGUGAUUACAUUAACAAUCUUGAAAUGUGGAGAUAAUUCUAGAUUAUCUGGUGGUCCCUAUACUCAAUGACAAGUGUUCUUAUAAGAAAAAGGCAGAGGAGGAUUUGAAAUAAGCAGAAUGCAGAAGACACAGAAAGGAAGAGGAGGCAACAUGAUCCUGGAGUCAGGAUUGGAGUGUUGUGGCUGUAAACCAAGGAGCCAGGAACCACAUAGAAACUAGAAGAUGCAGAGGUUGAAUUUCCUCCUGGAACCUCUGCAGAAGUACAACGCUGCUGACACCUUAAUUCCAGAAAUCUGGCCUCCAAUACUGUGAGAAUAUAUUUAUGUGGUUUUAAGUCACCAAGCUUAUGGUAAUUUGUAAUGGAAACCAUAGGAAACAAAUACAUUAUCUAAAAUAUCAAAGUUGAUUAUUUUCAAGUAACCUAAUAACCUAUUGUUUCAUUUCUUUCAGAAAUUCUUACUAUAGUACUUUAGGGAGCAAAAUCCACAUCAGAAAUUUAUAUAAUACCAAAAUGGAUGACUUCCAGCAGUAAGACAAUACUCUAUUUCCAGGGAACAACAUCAUCUAUGAAUGUCAUUUUCUUCAAUGUGACCUUAACAAGCCUACCUUAGAGAUCUGGGGUCAGUGUUUCAUCUUGUGUGUAUGGGUAGAUUUGUGACUACAGUGGAAGUGAAGCUCUGUGACUUUCAAAGCUAUUUUAUAAGAGACAAUACAUCUUCUUCUUAAUUCUCUUGAAAUGUUUGGCUUUGGAAACCAGCCAUCAUCCUUUGAAGAAACUCAGGCAUCCUAUAGACAAGCACGUGGAGAGGAAGCAAAACCCCCAGUUUCCAGUCCCAGCGGAAGUGCCUGGUGACCUUCAGCCCUAUUUGACAGCCAUAUGAUUGAGCCAUCUCAAAAGUAGAUGUUCUGGCCCUCAGUUGAAUGACAGCAGCUGAUGCCACCUGCAUCAGGGAUUUUCUGUCCUACCAAGCUCUCUCCAAUUGCAUUUUUGUGAGCAAAAUAACUCAUUUUUACGAGUUUAAACUGCCAAAUUUUGAGGUGCAUUGUUAUGUAGUGAUAGAUAACAAGAUCAUUAUCCCAGUAUCCUAAAAUACUCAAUAAAAAGAGAGGAGCUUUUGAGGAAGACUUCUCAAAUAUCUGAUUUGAUUUUCUCCUUUCUUACUAGCUUUCUUGCUCCUUCCCUUCCUCCUUUUCUUCCUCCCUUUCUUUUUUCCUUUGCUACUUUCCUUUUCUUUCAAGUUUUACAGGUUUAUCUUAUACAUUGUUGAAUACUGAUUAGAUUUACUUGUAUAUUUAAAAGUGGCUUAUAAUACAGAUGACAGUGUUUGCUUUUAUGCAACUACAAUAAAGUUGUUCAAUCAGCUGUAAUGCAUCCCACUUAAUGGAAUAUUCUGUGCAUCAUAGUCCUCCUAACAUCUUCCACUCAUCCUUCAAAACACAAAACAAGUGAAGUCCUUCCUGGGACAUCCAAUUAUAGUUGAUUACUCUAAUUUUGUACUGCUAAGACAUAAAUAUUACAUUAUUUGCUGCCUUGUGUUCUCUUUUUCUUGUACAUAGACAUGGAACUUGAGAAUGGAGAGUUCAUUGCAUUAUGUCUUUACAUUCUGGGUUCAAUACAAUGUCAGAUCUGUAAUAAAUGUUGAAUAAUUGAGCUUGUUAUUUGCCAAGUUGAACAUUGGAGAACUGUUCAUAAAAAUCGUGUGUGGUAUGAAUGUGAAUGAGUAUAAUAAUAACUUAAUGUAAGUCGAAGUCAUAUAAUUGGAAAGGUUGUGAUUACCAAGGUAGUAGGAAAAUAUAAUGAAUGAAUGACAAACUGCAUAGGGUUUACCCAGUAAGAAAUUUUGCAUUUCCAGAUCAUUACUCAUGUGAUGAAUAGCAAGGAUAAACAUAAAACUGCAAUUAUGCAAUUAUGCUUGAAAUAAAAUCAUGUGUGUAUAUUUACAUAGUAUCAACUAAAGCAAAUGUUGCUAUUCAAAAUAUUGUGAAAAUUUUGAGACAAAGUGAAUUUAGAAAACACUAGAAGUAAAUAAAUCCAGGUGCUAAAAUAAAUAGCAUGAAUUAACAAAACCUAGAGAAAGAUUUUAGGAAAAUGUCUAUUUUUAAAAAAGAUACAUGUCUAUGCAUUUAUUUACCUGUGAUUAUAUAUAGUUUGAGUCUAAAAUCUAAGAAUAACUUUUUUUCCUGGGAUGUUCAUGAAAAGAUACAAAAAUCCAAUCAUUCAGUGAUCAAUAUAAUAUGUAUAUUUAUAAUUAUCUCAAGACUUGGACUUGGGAUAUUGUGUUAUUUAAAAAGUCUCUUCAUUUCUUCCUUUCUGGCUUUUUAUUUAAUUUUUUGAUAAUCAAAUACUUAAGAAUUUUACAAAUACUAUAUUACAUUGAGACUUAAUAAAAUUACAAGUGAAAAAUAAACAAAAAGUUUAAUUAAACAUACACAUUUUGUCUCUAGGAAAACAAGUGGUCUUUGAAAAAUGUCAAAUUAAGUUGUUAUGUUGAUUGGUUAUGUUAUGAUGACCUAAGUGGCCUCUUACAAUACAUAAUUUCCAGAGUAAAGCAAAAAUAUAUAAUUUAUAAAUUUUAUCACAUUAAAUUUCACAUUUUCAUAAAUAAUUCAUUGUAUGAUUUUAAUUUGUUAUAUACAAUAAUACAUAAACAUUAUUUUUAUAAGCAAAUUACAGAGUUCAACAAUGCCAAAUUAUUUCCCCCUUGUGAUAAUGCCCAUUAACUAAUUUUAAGCUAUUGACUAGCUGGCUGAUUUAAAGUAUAUGACUUUAAAAGACACUUCUGAAAUCUGUACCCCCACUCAAAUUAGCAUUUGUUACAUGCUUGUGCUCUUACAAUUUCUUUGUUUGGUAAACUGCAUCCUAUUUAGAAGACCUCAUGCUUGACAUAGUAUUGAAUGUAUAUUUUGUUGAUUUUCAAAGGCUCACAGCUGGGAUGCUAUUCAUAAGUAAGCUGAAAGAAAAUACUGCUACUCAACAUCAUGCAGCAUUUUUGAGAUUCACAAUAGUAUGUAAAUUUUAAGUAAUUAUUACUCAUAAAAAUCAUAAAAAUGCUAUUUUCUCUUUCCAGAUGGACAAAUAAUCUUAGACCAUAAAUUGGAGAAAUAACUUAAAAUGAAUCACUUAAUGUCUUUUUGUUUAUUACUACUUUUUAAAACCUCUCUCAUUAUCUAUUCUUACUUUAUCAGGAAAUCAAACACACACCUGAAUUCUUAAAUAAUGAAAUGAAAUAUCUGAAUCUUUAAAGUAUAAGCUUUUUAUUGUUCUUUAUUACCACCAUUUUCAUCUUUUUAAAGAAAGGCAUCAACUUAAAUAUAUUAUAAUAGCACUGAAUUGAUCCAAUUAAUUAUAACAUGGAAUGAUGAAAAAAAAAUCAUGUUCUAAUUUUGUUGUUUUGUUAGAUCCUUUAGAGAUCUGAAGACAUACCCUCACCCUACAACCCACCAUAUGCUUAUGGAUUUUUUUUUUUUUUUUAGUUUCUGGUUUAGGAAAUAAGAGGAAAAUAAUUGCAAUUACUGUUAUUUCUCAAAUGUACUGCACUCAUCUCUGUAUGGACAUUAUGAAUUUAUUUCAAUGGAAUUCAAACAUCUUUUUUUUCCAGUAGAUGUAAUAUGAAAUGCUUGCAAUUCUGUUUUAAAUGUUUUCUUAAGCUUUCUGUUUAAUGUUAUAUUAAAUAAGUCCGUGUAUUGAAUGAAGGCUUUUCUAGUGAGAUAUUAAAAUUACGAUUGAUUGUUAACAAUUCCAAUCUAAUCUACUCCAGGAGAAGUUGAUUGAAAGAAACAGAACUCCCUGCUUUGAAGUAGACACCUAGUGUGGGAAAAACAGUGCGUGUCUAUACUGAAUAAACUACAUACUCCACCAUAAAAAUGAAAAGGAAUCCAUAGCUGAAAUUUUUAUGAAAAAUGCAACAAAAAUAUCACAGUAUCAUAAUAAUAUUGUAUAAUAUUAUUUUGUAUAGCGAAUACUGAGGAUUCAUUUGCCUCUUUUGGACUAGUCCCUAUGUGUCAUGGUGUCCUGAAACUUAAGCCUCAUUGCCUAUUGAAAAUAUAAUACUAUACUAGCACUACAAGGGGAUUCAUUCCUCGUAUUCAAAAGUGCCUAGAUGUUUGCUCAAGAAAGAUAAGUCCCAUCUACCAUCUACAAUCCAUAUAACAACAUAUAAAGCUCAAAAAUUAACUGGAGAGCUAACCCAGCCUUCUCCAGAUUGCCUACUGAUCUUAUAAUCUGCCAUUUCUUUAGAUUCUAAGCAGCUUGCUAUGCUUCUCGGACAUAUCUUUUCAGCUAUGUUAUAAUGAGUAAGAGUAAAGGCUGGUCACUUUAACUGCCAGUAUAUAGAAGUCACUAACUAAAAUGGUUUUAAAGACUAGGCACUUGCUUUCAUAUACCAGGAACAAAGGGUGGGAAUCAUCAUAUCUUAAGAAGUUAAGAUUUUGCCACUGAAUAUUGACACUUUUUUAUUCGGUGUUACUAUUGUACAUCCUAAUAUCUUGGUACAAGAAUUAUAAUAGGAGUGCUUACAAAAGGAAUUAACAUAUUUUAGGCAAGAGCAAAUAAGAAAUACUUUUCAAAAUUAGUUCUCAAAGUAUAUUUUCUUUGGUUCUGAGGGUUUUUCAUCCAAAUAUAUGUAUCUUUUAAAAUGGUUUACUAUAAAAAUAUUUAAAAUUGGUUUAAUUUUUCUGUUUUACGACUUGUUUAGUUUGUUACUUUGAAUCAAUGACUUACAUAUUCUAGUAUUCACCACUAUACCUCAA